AAACUCCUGGGAAAGGCUUCUGUGUGGUUGAAGCUACCACAGGUAGGUGAAUCUCGUAUUGUACAGCCCUUAACUUAAAGUAAAUUCCUAUGGGAACAUUCCCUAAGGUUAGAAUUUACAGUAAACGAGUAUGAAGAUUCUGGCAGGAGUUUGAUGGCCAGGUAUGAUACUAUAAACAGAA